UACGUAGGGUGCAAGCGUUAAUCGGAAUUACUGGGCGUAAAGCGUGCGCAGGCGGUUUUGUAAGUCUGUCGUGAAAGCCCCGGGCUCAACCUGGGAAUUGCGAUGGAGACUGCAAGGCUUGAAUCUGGCAGAGGGGGGUAGAAUUCCUCGUGUAGCAGUGAAAUGCGUAGAGAUGUGGAGGAACACCGAUGGCGAAGGCAGCCCCCUGGGUCAAGAUUGACGCUCAUGCACGAAAGCGUGGGGAGCAAACAGG
rnacentral:rRNA from 1 species